CAAAAGCUUGGUCCUGACUUUUCUGUCAGCUUUGGUUAAAUUUAUACAUGCAAGUAUCCGCAUCCCUGUGAGAAUGCCCACAUUUUUUCUUAAACAAAAAAAAGGAGCUAGUAUUAGGCACAACCCUACGUUAGCCUACGACGUUUUGCUUAGCCACACCCCCACGGGAAUUCAGCAGUAAUAAACAUUAAGCAAUAAGUGCAAACUUGACUUAGUUAAAACCAAAAGAACCGGUUAAACUCGUGCCAGCCACCGCGGUUAUACGAGAGGUUCAAGUUGACAACCACCGGCGUAAAAAGUGGCUAAUAUAGUAUUUCACUAAAGCCAAACACCUUCAAAGCUGUCAUAUGCUCUCGAGGGCAGGAAGCUCUUUCACGAAAGUGGCUUUAAAUAAUAUUAUCCCACGAAAGCUAGGAAACAAACUGGGAUUAGAUACCUCACUAUGCCUAGCCUUAAACACAAGCGGUCCCUUACACCUCUUGCUUGCCAGGGAACUACGAGCCCCAACUUAAAACCCAAAGGACUUGGCGGUGCUUUAGACCCCCCUAGAGGAGCCUGUUCUAGAACCGAUAACCCCCGUUUAACCUCACCCUUUCUUGUUUUUCCCGCCUAUAUACCGCCGUCGUCAGCUCACCCUGUGAAGGCCCAAUAGUGAGCAUAAUUGGUAGAACCCAAAACGCCAGGUCGAGGUGUAGCGUACGAAAGGGGAAGAAAUGGGCUACAUUCACUGCCCCAGUGAACACGAAUAAUGUGCUGAAAUAAGCAUUUGAAGGAGGAUUUAGCAGUAAGAGGGAAAUAGAGUGCCCCUCUGAAACUGGCCCUGAAGCGCGCACACACCGCCCGUCACUCUCCCCAAAAAUCAAGAAACCAAUGUAACUAAAAACAAUUAAUAAUAAAGGGGAGGCAAGUCGUAACAUGGUAAGUGUACCGGAAGGUGCACUUGGAAAAAU
rnacentral:ncRNA from 1 species